rnacentral:lncRNA from 1 species
CUCGAAUAAUAUCUUAUUUAAAGUGAUUAAAUUGAGAAAAAAAAUUUAGAGGAGCCGAUGUACAAGCCUAAUUUUAGUCCGGGGCCUAAAACCCAAACCAAUUAAACCCUCAAACUGAACCUACCCAAAUAAUCCAUUACAAGCCCAAAUGUCAAACCCACUUAAAACUAACCCAAACGGCCCAAUGUCAUCGGCCCAAUAAGCCCAUUAACAAAUCAGACCCAAUUAAUAGUCAAACUAGGGUUUCAGUUUUUCUGAAACCCUAGCCUACUGCCUUCAGCCACCGCCGCACCUAACCCCUGACCUUCUACCACCGUCGCGUCACCUACUCUGCCACCAACUCUGCCACCGCUCGUCAAUCACCCUGCAAAACAGAGCAAACACGCAAAGAGCGACAGAAAUAGAAGAAAAAAAUAUAGUAAUAAAGUUGUUGAAAUCAGCUAUAAAAGAGAACAAAAAUCAUGCUUGUAUUCUUUAACAACAACCAGUGAAAUAAAAAAGCAGAAUAGAAGUAAAAAAGGUUGAUCUAAGUAUUUAUUUUCAUUUUUUUUCUUCGUGUUCUUGCCCAUUUUUAUGCCUGUUUGUUUUAUUUUUAUUUUUUUACAAAACGAUUGCAACAAACGAAAACGAAAAAGGAAAGGGAAAGGGUACCUGCCGGUUUCAAAAGCCCGUCGCCGGAGACUUCUUCCGGUGUUGGAAUCAGACCGAAAAUGGUACGAAAGACCUCUCCCUCUUCGGCCUAUUGGGUCCAGAAGACCGGGUUUUUUAAAGGGAUCGAGAACGGGGUUUAAAAACCCGACUUUUGGGUGACUCCGGCCACCAUCCACGGCGGGGCCGGUGGAGGUUUCUCGCCGGAUUCUGGGCAACGCUCGGAGAAGGCAGAGAGAAAGGGGGAGAGCUUUUUGAAAUUUUUG